rnacentral:rRNA from 1 species
AAUGAACGUUGGCGGUGUGGAUUAGGCAUGCAAGUCGUGCGCGAAACGUAGCAAUACGUGGAGAGCGGCGAAAGGGAGAGUAAUACAUGGUUAGCUGCCCUCGGGACUGGAAUAGCGGCGGGAAACUGCCGGUAAUGCCAGAUAACGUCUUCGGACCAAACGUGUAAACCGGCCCGAGGAGGUGACCAUGUCCUAUCAGCUAGUUGGCGGUGUAACGGACCACCAAGGCUAAGACGGGUAUGGGGCGUGAGAGCGUGCCCCCACUCACUGGGACUGAGAACUGCCCAGACACCUACGGGUGGCUGCAGUCGAGAAUCUUCGGCAAUGGGCGCAAGCCUGACCGAGCGACACCGCGUGCGGGAUGAAGGCCUUCGGGUUGUAAACCGCUGUCGUAGGGGAGGAAGGUCUGGUGUAUAGCCAGGCUUGACCGAUCCUAGGAGGAAGGGCCGGCUAAUCUCGUGCCAGCAGCCGCAGUAAAAC